GGCUUAGUGGCCUAAUGGUUAGUGUGUUGGACUCCAGAUCAAGUGGUCCAGGUUCAAGCCUGUCCAGGAUCA